GAAAAUAGAUUCAAGCUGGUGUUAGUUAAUAGGCCCCUUCUGAAGGAAAAUGGGGAGGGGGGUGCUAGUGUUGCCAUGUGUUCUGCUGUGACACUGGUCCAGAUCGAAAUAGAACAGAUGGAAAAUUUGCUGGUGCCAUGGUAGAUGUCCCUGCCAGCACAACUUGAGGCACAAGAAGAGCAGAGUCCAAGGGGGAGCAGCGAUCAGAUCUUCGCUGAACACCAUGCCACAUUGGCUGAAGACUAAAUGGAGGGCUGAGUUGAUCCCAUCUUAACGCGACUGCCUGAAACAUGAGCUCGCAGCCUCCCUCCAAAGACUCUCACUUGAAUGACUGCACUAAGCACACUGUUCCAUUGUUAGAGGAAGAUUAAAGUUAGACUAAUCUCCUGG